ACUCAACGGAAUAUUGUUGUG
rnacentral:sRNA from 1 species